rnacentral:tRNA from 4 species
GCCGAAGUGAUGGAAUGGUAUACAUGAUAGUUUCAAAAACUAUUGAUCGCAAGGUCAUGAGGGUUCGAGUCCCUCCUUCGGCA